UACGAAGGGGAGGCUAGCGUUGCUCGGAAUCACUGGGCGUAAAGCGCACGUAGGCGGACUCUUAAGUCAGGGGUGAAAUCCUGGAGCUCAACUCCAGAACUGCCUUUGAUACUGGGAGCCUUGAGUUCGGGAGAGGUGAGUGGAACUGCGAGUGUAGAGGUGAAAUUCGUAGAUAUUCGCAAGAACACCAGUGGCGAAGGCGGCUCACUGGCC
rnacentral:rRNA from 1 species